rnacentral:lncRNA from 1 species
ACUAUGUUCAACUAAUUAGGAUUAAGAGCCAUUAGAGAAAUCUACACACAACCUUCUCCUCUCUGCAAAACUCAAUGCUCUCCAAGUUAUAGGUAAUUGGAACAAUAAGAGCGUAUUUUUGUGAGAGCAGAGGCUUGUGAUUUUAUACUACAAUACCUGGAUCGCCCUAUAACAAUCCCAUAAGAAAUACAAGACUGCAUUCCUUAUAUCAAUAUGAGUCCUAUAAACGAGCAAACACAAGAGUCCUCAGUAUACCAAUAUGAUUGGAUUAACUCUUGUCAACAUGAUUUAGACUUCUUCAUAAUAUCAAUUAUCCCAAGACUUGUAAGAAUCAUACUUCAAUUAUCCCAAGACUUGUAAGAAUCAUACUCAUACCCUUACAUUCUCCCACUUGAGUAUGAUUCAUCACAACAGAUAAUCAUAUCAAAUUAUUAUAAAGGUGAUCACAUAAGUCAUUCAUCAACACACUAGUACAUAGACACAACCAGCUUACAUAAGCCAAAACAAUGAAUUUAUAAUUGCCUCUGCAACACAAAAUACAGAUUUAACUUACAAAUCACAAUGUCCAGUUCAUGUUCAUAGCAAUGUAUCUAAGUUCAAGAGUAAACCAAGAUGUCUACUCCCACUCAUAUAGCCCAAAAUUGAUAUAAAAAUACCAAACAUUCUUGACAGUAGGCUGUCAAUUUAAAAUUAUUCAUAAUUGUAUGAAUAGCACAGUUAUAUCAAUCAACAGCUUUAUCAUAUCACCAAAUCUUUUGGAUCUCACAUACAACUUACCUAUGCAUUUUAAAGUAUUGAACUUAAGAAUCUUUUCUGUUACAUCGCAGAAUUAACUCAAAAGUCACAACAUACUUA